GUAGGUGGCAAGCGUUGUCCGGAAUUAUUGGGCGUAAAGCGCGCGCAGGCGGUCCUUUAAGUCUGAUGUGAAAGCCCACGGCUCAACCGUGGAGGGUCAUUGGAAACUGGGGGACUUGAGUACAGAAGAGGAAAGCGGAAUUCCAAGUGUAGCGGUGAAAUGCGUAGAGAUUUGGAGGAACACCAGUGGCGAAGGCGGCUUUCUGGUCUGUAACUGACGCUGAGGCGCGAAAGCGUGGGGAGCAAACAGGGAUUAGAUACCCUGGUAGUCCACGCCGUAAACGAUGAGUGCUAAGUGUUAGGGGGGUUUCCCGCCCCUUAGUGCUGCAGCUAACGCAUUAAGCACUCCGCCUGGGGGGUACGGCCGCAAGGCUG
rnacentral:rRNA from 1 species